AAAGUGUGGGGUGGAGGUUUGUGUGUAUCCUCUGACAGAGUUGAACCCCAAGCAAGGAUUGAGGACCAACGUGAGAUCUGUCAAAGUUACUGAAAGAUCGCUGAGAGAGGGGGAAAGCUCUUUGUAACAUGGCACCAUGUUGGUCCUGUAAACUGAGCCUGCCAGACGGGACUACAGCCAGAGCCAAUCUGUCCUCUCUCAUUUUUGCUGUGAUUGAACUGCAGAGCCUCGGCGGUGAUGAAGAGAGAAGAGAAAGAGAAAGAGGAAAAGAAAAUGCAGAAAACAAGAAAAGUCAAGAAAAGGAGAAGAGAAAAAAAAGUUUAAACAAGCCCUUUGCUCGUGUUUAAAGCUUGUAUUUGGGCACAGAGAUACACAAACAACAACAACCAGAGAGAAAAAAGUGAACAAAGAGAAAAGAGGCUUUUGAGAUGACCUCUAAGAGGAAGUAAAGCGGUUUCCAGCUGUUU